rnacentral:rRNA from 1 species
UGGGGAAUUUUGGACAAUGGGCGAAAGCCUGACCCAGCAACGCCGCGUGAAGGAUGAAGUAUUUCGGUAUGUAAACUUCGAAAGAAUAGGAAGAAUAAAUGACGGUACUAUUUAUAAGGUCCGGCUAACUACGUGCCAGCAGCCGCGGUAAUACGUAGGGACCAAGCGUUGUUCGGAUUUACUGGGCGUAAAGGGCGCGUAGGCGGCAAUUCAAGUCAUCUGUGAAAUCUCCGGGCUUAACUCGGAACGGUCAGAUGAUACUGCUUUGCUAGAGUGCAGAAGGGGCAAUCGGAAUUCUUGGUGUAGCGGUGAAAUGCGUAGAUAUAGGAAGGAACACCAGUGGCGAAGGCGACCACCUGGACUGAUACUGACACUGAGGUGCGAAAGCGUGGGGAGCAAACAGGAUUAGAUACCCACGUAGUCCCUGAGCGGGCUGGCAAGGCGCAU